rnacentral:rRNA from 1 species
AGUGAACGCUGGCGGUAGGCCUAACACAUGCAAGUCGAACGGCAGCACAGUAAGAGCUUGCUCUUACGGGUGGCGAGUGGCGGACGGGUGAGGAAUACAUCGGAAUCUACUUUUUCGUGGGGGAUAACGUAGGGAAACUUACGCUACUACCGCAUACGACCUACGGCUGAAAUCAGUGGAUCUUCGGACCUUGCGCGAUUGAAUGAGCCGAUGUCGGAUUAGCUAGUUGGCGGGGUAAAGGCCCACCAAGGCGACGAUCCGUAGCUGGUCUGAGAGGAUGAUCAGCCACACUGGAACUGAGACACGGUCCAGACUCCUACGGGAGGCAGCAGUGGGGAAUAUUGGACAAUGGGCGAAAGCCUGAUCCAGCAAUACCGCGUGGGUGAAGAAGGCCUUCGGGUUGUAAAGCCCUUUUGUUGGGAAAGAAAAGCAGCAGGUUAAUACCCCGAUGUUCUGACGGUACCCAAAGAAUAAGCACCGGCUAACUUCGUG